rnacentral:rRNA from 1 species
GUGAACGCUGGCGGUAGGCCUAACACAUGCAAGUCGAACGGCAGCACAGUAAGAGCUUGCUCUUACGGGUGGCGAGUGGCGGACGGGUGAGGAAUACAUCGGAAUCUACUUUUUCGUGGGGGAUAACGUAGGGAAACUUACGCUAAUACCGCAUACGACCUACGGGUGAAAGCAGGGGAUCUUCGGACCUUGCGCGAUUGAAUGAGCCGAUGUCGGAUUAGCUAGUUGGCGGGGUAAAGGCCCACCAAGGCGACGAUCCGUAGCUGGUCUGAGAGGAUGAUCAGCCAAACUGGAACUGAGACACGGUACAGACUCCUACGGGAGGCAGCAGUGGGGAAUAUUGGACAAUGGGCGCAAGCCUGAUCCAGCCAUACCGCGUGGGUGAAGAAGGCCUUCGGGUUGUAAAGCCCUUUUGUUGGGAAAGAAAAGCAGCAGGUUAAUACCCCGCUGUUCUGACGGUACCCAAAGAAUAAGCACCGGCUAACUUCGUG